rnacentral:rRNA from 1 species
AACGAACGCUGGCGGCAUGCCUAACACAUGCAAGUCGAACGAGACCUUCGGGUCUAGUGGCGCACGGGUGCGUAACGCGUGGGAACCUGCCCUUAGGUUCGGAAUAACUCCCCGAAAGGGGUGCUAAUACCGGAUAAUGUCUUCGGACCAAAGAUUUAUCGCCUUUGGAUGGGCCCGCGUUGGAUUAGCUAGUUGGUAGGGUAAAAGCCUACCAGGGCGACGAUCCAUAGCUGGUCUGAGAGGAUGGUCAGCCACACUGGGACUGAGACACGGCCCAGACUCCUACGGGAGGCAGCAGUGGGGAAUAUUGGACAAUGGGCGAAAGCCUGAUCCAGCAAUGCUGCGUGAGUGAUGAAGGCCUUAGGGUUGUAAAGCUCUUUUACCCGGGAUGAUAAUGACAGUACCGGGAGAAUAAGCUCCGGCUAACUCCGUG